rnacentral:tRNA from 1 species
UCCCGGAUCGUCCAACGGCAGGACUCCUGAUUCUGGAUCAGGCGAUCGAGGUUCGAAUCCUUGUCCGGGAG